AAAAGACAUAUUUCACACUCAUACAAGCCUUAGAAGACCAGUUGUGAGUAUCAAAACCCUUAAAAGACCUAAACCCUUAAAGCAUAAAAAACCCUAAGCCUUCACUCUCGUUGAAAACCCUAACCUUUGAAAGAGUAUUCACACCCCGAUUUACAAUUAUUCUUUUGUCAGGAAUGAAAUCUUGUAGAUUUGGGCGGCAACAAGUGAGGCAAGAGACAAUUUUGAGGUGAUACAUCACAUCAUGAAAUGACGACAUGUAAUUAGUUAGCCGCCAGAGUUGUUUGGGGGUUUUUAUUUUCAAGAUCCUGCUUCAAUCUCCUCUGUGAAGCAGCCAAAAAAUGUGGGGCUUUUCGUUCCAAGGCCGACUUGAAUCUAAUCUACAUAUGGUUAAGAAAGUUUAUUUUGGGGUCAAUAUAGUUUGAAUCAAAGGACCAGCCGAAAAGAGGAGUCCAUGGGUUGGAAGAAGAUUGGAUGUUUUCGUUCUCUUGAAAACAGGGUCUUCGACAAGGAUACCAUAAAAUGCAACGGACGAGAAUUAGUCACUAACUUUGAGCCAAGCACUGUAUGAGAGAUCUUUCCCAAUAGAUAAUGGAGAUCCUUCCUAAUAGAUAAUGGAAAUUGAGAACUCUACUUCAGCAACACUAGGGGUUCAUUUAACAUAUGGCCUGGCAAUGGCAUCUGAUCACUCUCAUAUCUGGAGUGGUGUAAAUUCUUCUGUCUUUACUAUCUAUAAGGUUAUUGGAGGCCUUGUAAUAGACAAAGAGAAAGAAAACUUGGUUAAGCCUAACAAAUUUGGCUAUGUAAAAAGGGUUAUGCAUGGCACAACUAUGCUAACUACUUGAGCUUUAAGGUUUGUUGUGAAGUCCAUCUUCAGGGCACACGUAGAAGGCCAACUUAAGCUUGCAAAGGAAAUUGGCUUACAAGAAGAUGAGAAAUCAUUACAAUGAAGCAAUGCUGAAAAUCAUGAAGAUGAUAUCAUUUAAAUCAUUAGGAGGUUGAACUAGGCUUUUGUUGAUGAUGGUUUCUUUUUGUAGUCAUUGCAUCGAUAUUUGUUCUUAUAUUGGAUUUAAAAAUUAUCAUUGAAAUAUUUUGAUCUAAUGAGCAAAUUUAUAAUUUGUAAACAAGUAAUUAUACUAAUUAUUCAA